GUGCCAGCAGCCGCGGUAAUACGUAGGGUGCGAGCGUUAAUCGGAAUUACUGGGCGUAAAGCGUGCGUAGGCGGUCCGCGAAGUCUGAUGUGAAAGCCCCGGGCUCAACCUGGGAACUGCAUUGGAAACUAACGGGCUCGAGUGUGGCAGAGGGGGGUGGAAUUCCACGUGUAGCAGUGAAAUGCGUAGAGAUGUGGAGGAACACCGAUGGCGAAGGCAGCCCCCUGGGCUAACACUGACGCUCAGGCACGAAAGCGUGGGGAGCAAACAGGAUUAGAUACCACAGGAGUAC
rnacentral:rRNA from 1 species